UGGCUUAUUCUUGUUAACAAAUUGACUCUGGCUGGGACUUAGAAUAUUAAAGGACCUUCUUUCUUGAUGUCUUUGGGCGACGGGACAUCUUUCACUAUCAUUGGGGAGUUGUAUUCAAUCCUGGCCUGUCCGAGGCUUACCUUAUCCAUUACAACUGUAGUUACCGAGUGAGAUGGACUUUGAUGUACACUAAUGAAGUCUUACUCCUUCUCUAGGUGAUGGAUCAUCUUUUACCAAGAUAGGACAGAUUAUAUUCAUUAUAUCUUUUCAAUUGUACAACAUUUCUGUAUAAUAAUGAUACUGAGAUAUUUAGCUGUUGUUUAAUUAGUAAUUACUGUGUGGUGUGUAAA
rnacentral:lncRNA from 1 species